AGUGUUGUUCUUGAGUCAGGAUUUUCUGUUGCACUUCCUCUGUUACCAUCCGUGGUAGACGUUUUCUACCGGUCAUCAGCUGGAAACGAGGCCUAAUGGAGAUAUCUCCAUGUUGGUCCCUGGGAAAGAGAGUAAAAAAUGCAUUAAAUUAAAAACCUUUACUCUCUGAGAUCUGAGAGUGCUGGGAAAUCCAGCCUACCCGUUUCAUGCAAUACAUUAAGGA
rnacentral:lncRNA from 1 species